rnacentral:rRNA from 1 species
GACGAACGCUGGCGGCGUGCUUAACACAUGCAAGUCGAACGGAGCACCCUUGACGGAGUUUUCGGACAACUGAUAGGAAUGCUUAGUGGCGGACUGGUGAGUAACGCGUGAGGAACCUGCCUUUCAGAGGGGGACAACAGUUGGAAACGACUGCUAAUACCGCAUGACGCAUGACCGGGGCAUCCCGGACAUGCCAAAGAUUUAUCGCUGAAAGAUGGCCUCGCGUCUGAUUAGCUAGUUGGUGAGGUAACGGCUCACCAAGGCGACGAUCAGUAGCCGGUCUGAGAGGAUGAACGGCCACAUUGGGACUGAGAUACGGCCCAG